UAGAGAGUAAUAUAGUGGAAGUAUGGAGGGUUUUGAUCUCUUUAGUGCAGGUUCGAGUCCUGUCUUUCUAA
rnacentral:tRNA from 1 species